rnacentral:rRNA from 1 species
CUACAAAGGAAGUUGACGGGGCCCGCACAAGCGGUGGAGUAUGUGGUUUAAUUCGAUGCAACGCGAAGAACCUACCUGGUCUUGACAUCCCGGAGACCCUUAGGAAACUAGGGGGUGCUUCCAUCUGGAAGAAUCUGGAGACAGGUGCUGCAUGGCUGUCGUCAGCUCGUGUCGUGAGAUGUUGGGUUAAGUCCCGCAACGAGCGCAACCCUUGCCUUUAGUUGCCAGCAGUUCGGCUGGGCACUCUAAAGGGACUGCCGGUGUUAAACCGGAGGAAGGUGGGGAUGACGUCAAGUCCUCAUGGCCUUUAUGACCAGGGCUACACACGUACUACAAUGGCCGAUACAAAGGGCAGUGACACUGCGAGGUGAAGCCAAUCCCGUAAAAUCGGUCUCAGUCCGGAUUGGAGUCUGCAACUCGACUCCAUGAAGUUGGAAUCGCUAGUAAUCGUGGAUCAGCAUGCCACGGUGAAUACGUUCCCGGGCCUU